CUGCUGCCUCCCGUAGGAGUCUGGUCCGUGUCUCAGUACCAGUGUGGGGGGCCUUCCUCUCAGAACCCCUACGCAUCGUCGGCACGGUGGGCCGUUACCCCGCCGUCUACCUAAUGCGACGCAUGUCCAUCCUAUGCCGGAUCUCUCCUUUAACCUCCCGGGAAUGCUCCCAAAAGGUGUUACGCGGUAUUAGGCCGGAUUUCUCCGGGUUAUCCCCCUGCAUAGGGCAGGUUACAUACGUGUUACUCACCCGUGCGACGGUCGCCGGCAGGCA
rnacentral:rRNA from 1 species